UGAUCUGGAAGCUUUCGUCCUGGCUAGGAAGACCUCGAGGGAAUCUCAUUUCUGCCUACCUCUUUAUCCGUGGGCUGAAGCUUUCCCCUAGGGUCUGAGACUCAGUGUGUGCGCAUGUGUGUAUACGUGUGUAUAUAAUGAAGUCACAGAUGAGGCUUUCUAGACCUUUUCUUUACUAGUCAUGUGGGUUGUAUUUAGCCAUGCAAAGCCUUUUGUGCUAUUCUGUCCAAGUUGCAGUCAGCAAUGCCGGCAGACCAGAUGUCCUUGAAGCAGGCAGCAAGGCUUCAUGCAAUGCUGAUGGCCUCUCAGCUUGUCCCUGGACGCUCUUCUCAGAACUCUG
rnacentral:lncRNA from 1 species